rnacentral:Y_RNA from 1 species
GGCCGGUCCGAACGUAGUGUUAUCUCAAUUGUUCACAGUCAGUUACAGAUUGAACUCCUUGUUCUACUCUUUCCCUCCUUCUCACUACUGCACUUGGCUAGUCUUAA